AGUCGAACGAAGUAGCAAUACUGAGUGGCAAACGGGUGAGUAACAUGUGGGAAUCUGCCCUUCGGUUUGGAAUAACAUGGGGAAACCUGUGCUAAUACCAGAUAAGUCUUUACAGAGAAAGCUUUAUGCGCCGAUGGAUGAGCCCGCACUUGAUUAGUUAGUUGGUGAGGUAAUAGCUCACCAAGACAAUGAUCAAUAGCUGAUUUGAGAGGAUGAUCAGCCACAUUGGGACUGAGACACGGCCCAAACUCCUACGGGAGGCAGCAGUGGGGAAUCUUGCACAAUGGGGGAAACCCUGAUGCAGCGAUGCCGCGUGAGUGAAGAAGGCCUUUGGGUUGUAAAGCUCUUUCGUCGGGGAAGAAAAUGACUGUACCCGAAUAAGAAGGUCCGGCUAACUUCGUGCCAGCAGCCGCGGUAAUACGAAGGGACCUAGCGUAGUUCGGAAUUACUGGGCUUAAAGAGUUCGUAGGUGGUUAAAAUAGUUGGUGGUGAAAUCCCAGAGCUUAACUCUGGAACUGCCAUCAAAACUUUUUAGCUAGAGUAUGAUAGAGGAAAGCAGAAUUUCUAGUGUAGAGGUGAAAUUCGUAGAUAUUAGAAAGAAUACCAAUUGCGAAGGCAGCUUUCUGGAUCAUUACUGACACUGAGGAACGAAAGCAUGGGUAGCGAAGAGGAUUAGAUACCCUCGUAGUCCAUGCCGUAAACGAUGUGUGCUAGACGUUGGAGAUUUUAUUUUCAGUGUCGCAGCAAAAGCAUUAAGCACACCGC
rnacentral:rRNA from 1 species